UGGAGGCAGUCAUCUUGGCACCUCAGGAUACAGCAGAAGAAUCAACAAUAGUCUCAUUGGCAGGAGCAGAGAGGAUAAACCACUGUUCUACUCUUUGAUACCUCAUUCCCUAACAAAGAAGCAGCAGGUUGUGGUUUCUGAGAGCCCAGGCUACGUAGAUGGGAAUGGAAGAAUGAGAAGGUCAGGGGGAGCCAGGGCCAAGGUGGGGACUGUGUCCAGCAUAUGAAGUGCUCUUCUCUGCAGCCAUCCCUACUGCAAGGAGGAGUCUGACUGACUUCAGUAAUCAGCCUUCAAAUGGUGUGUGUUGUACAUAGACAGGAAAGUCUUUGUGGAAGCCGUUACUCAGACUGCACAGGGGGCAUGCUGCUUGGAGAUUCAGUGGUGAUCUUGCUGCUGGGACUCUGGAAGCUGGAGCACGUGUUGGAAGUAGAAGAAGACACAGGCCUGGAGAGACCUCUACGGAACGGGUAGCACUGAGUGCAGUGACGCGGUAGCUUGAGAGGUCCAUCUGCAUAAGUCACAGUCACAAAAGAGGCCCUUUGAGGCCACCGAUGGCAGUGCCAUUGCAUGGGUUAGAGUCUCUGGAGCUAAGAACACUGAGGUUCUGGAGGAAACAGCCCCAGCUCCACUCUCCUGCACCCCCUCUCCCAGGGUGACUAUAUCGUCUUGUGCCCUGGAGUCUGUCCACAUGUGCAGGAGAUACAUGUCACAUCUUCUCUGAGCUCUGCACAGCUUCUCACAGAUCUACCUCAAAAUGUCCUGGAGACACACAACUGAAGUGCCAAAGGAAACCUUCUGAACCAUCUUCCUCCAUUACUUGCUAUCCAUUUCACAUGAAAUGGUGUUGGAGUGCCUAUCUUGGCUGCUCAGAGAAACAGGUGUUACAGUGAACACCUGCAUUUUAAGAAGCAUCUACAAGGAUGAUGGAAUAUUAUUUCCUAAAAGAUCCAUAAAGCCAUCUGCUGUGGAGAAGACCCAUGAAAGAACCUGCAGUGCGAUGGAGCUGUGCCUGUUGUGACUCCAAGAAGAUUCACACGAGGACCUAGAGGAUAAAAUGAGAUGGGACCUGCAUAUCUCCUUUUGGUGCCUUUCCUCUUACAGAAGGACCUUGUCUAUAGAGAGGGAUGGUGACACUCAGGCGUGGACCCACUGCAGUCAGGCAGCAAGUAUAUUGUAUUAGUUUUACCUAUGUUGCUGUGAUAAACUACCCUGACAGAAGCAAUUUAGAGGUGAAAGAGUAAAUUUCGUCUACAGCUCCAGAAGGGAUACAGCCAUCAAGGUAGAGAAGACACAAUGGCAGGAACAUAAAACCACCCAUCACAUUGUACCUGCAACCCAGAGCAGAGAGUGAGAAGGAUGUGGGGCAGGCCUGUAAAACCCAAACGCCCACCCCAGUGACAUCCUGUCUCCCUCAACAGAUGGCAAUGGUACCACAAGGCUAGUUCAGGAAAGAGUAGCCAAGUCCCCAGGGCAUGUGGUGUUGAUAGAAGAUAGUUCAGCCAUCCCUUGUUCCACUCAGUAGAUCCAAAGCUUCUUCAGGUAGGUAUGGGCAUGGUAGGAGCCACUUGGGGCUCAAGUCCUGCUUCCCCAGAAAUAGCCAGUUGUCCCCUAGACUUCCAGAUCCAAGCUCCCUAAGAAAACAGGGUGAGCCCACAUCCCGUCUUGCAACAACCUAACUUAAACAUUUCCCUCACUGCAGUUAGAUGAUUGCUCUAUAAAUAUGUCUCCUGCAAGUGGUUCACAUCCUGAGGGUUAGAGCUCAGCCUUGUCAUCAGAGUGGACAGAGAACAUCUGCAAGGGUUAGCAAGGGUACAAAUUCUGUUUUUUUCAAAAGCCAGGGGCUUGUUUUCCUGGCUUGAAAUUUCUCCUUUUCCAACGUCAAUUAUAACAAAGCAUGUCUGUGGUUAUGGGCUCGCUAUGAAGGGUAAUGCAAUUCAAAUGUUUUAAACAGACUUGGGGGAAAAUGUUUUAAUAAAGAUCCUGGAUCCCU
rnacentral:lncRNA from 1 species